rnacentral:rRNA from 1 species
UUAUCGGAGAGUUUGAUCCUGGCUCAGGACGAACGCUGGCGGCGUGCCUAAUACAUGCAAGUCGAGCGGACAGAUGGGAGCUUGCUCCCUGAUGUUAGCGGCGGACGGGUGAGUAACACGUGGGUAACCUGCCUGUAAGACUGGGAUAACUCCGGGAAACCGGGGCUAAUACCGGAUGGUUGUUUGAACCGCAUGGUUCAAACAUAAAAGGUGGCUUCGGCUACCACUUACAGAUGGACCCGCGGCGCAUUAGCUAGUUGGUGAGGUAACGGCUCACCAAGGCAACGAUGCGUAGCCGACCUGAGAGGGUGAUCUACCACACUGGGACUGAGACACUACCCCAGACUCCUACGGGAGGCAGCAGUAGGGAAUCUUCCGCAAUGGACGAAAGUCUGACGGAGCAACGCCGCGUGAGUGAUGAAGGUUUUCGGAUCGUAAAGCUCUGUUGUUAGGGAAGAACAAGUACCGUUCGAAUAGGGCGGUACCUUGACGGUACCUAACCAGAAAGCCACGGCUAACUACGUGCCAGCAGCCGCGGUAAUACGUAGGUGGCAAGCGUUGUCCGGAAUUAUUGGGCGUAAAGGGCUCGCAGGCGGUUUCUUAAGUCUGAUGUGAAAGCCCCCGGCUCAACCGGGGAGGGUCAUUGGAAACUGGGGAACUUGAGUGCAGAAGAGGAGAGUGGAAUUCCACGUGUAGCGGUGAAAUGCGUAGAGAUGUGGAGGAACACCAGUGGCGAAGGCGACUCUCUGGUCUGUAACUGACGCUGAGGAGCGAAAGCGUGGGGAGCGAACAGGAUUAGAUACCCUGGUAGUCCACGCCGUAAACGAUGAGUGCUAAGUGUUAGGGGGUUUCCGCCCCUUAGUGCUGCAGCUAACGCAUUAAGCACUCCGCCUGGGGAGUACGGUCGCAAGACUGAAACUCAAAGGAAUUGAACGGGGCCGCGCACAAGCGGUGGAGCAUGUGGUUUAAUUCGAAGCAACGCGAAGAACCUUACCAGGUCUUGACAUCCUCUGACAAUCCUAGAGAUAGGACGUCCCCUUCGGGGGCAGAGUGACAGGUGGUGCAUGGUUGUCGUCAGCUCGUGUCGUGAGAUGUUGGGUUAAGUCCCGCAACGAGCGCAACCCUUGAUCUUAGUUGCCAGCAUUCAGUUGGGCACUCUAAGGUGACUGCCGGUGACAAACCGGAGGAAGGUGGGGAUGACGUCAAAUCAUCAUGCCCCUUAUGACCUGGGCUACACACGUGCUACAAUGGACAGAACAAAGGGCAGCGAAACCGCGAGGUUAAGCCAAUCCCACAAAUCUGUUCUCAGUUCGGAUCGCAGUCUGCAACUCGACUGCGUGAAGCUGGAAUCGCUAGUAAUCGCGGAUCAGCAUGCCGCGGUGAAUACGUUCCCGGCCUUGUACACACCGCCCGUCACACCACGAGAGUUUGUAACACCCGAAGUCGGUGAGGUAACCUUUUAGGAGCCAGCCGCCGAAGGUGGGACAGAUGAUUGGGGUGAAGUCGUAACAAGGUAGCCGUAUCGGAAGGUGCGGCUGGAUCACCUCCUUU